rnacentral:lncRNA from 1 species
AGGCUGUGAGUCAUCAGGGUGAUGGAGGGCACCAGAGCCUGGCCCUUUAAGGGCCUCAGAUGAGCUAUAUAAGGUCCAGCUGCAGGGGCUUGAGCCACUUGCAGCGGCCCCAGCGGGAGGUGGAGGAUGCAAGAGGUCAGCGCAGGGCUGGAGCGGUUCACCUUCACCUUCGAGGAGGAUGUAGAGCUGCAAAGGGGCACUGGACUCCUGCCUUUCCAAGGCAUGGACAGCGAGUGAGGACGGGGACCCUCCCUCCUCGCGCCCCACCCCAGCCUCCUCCCGAGGCCUGUGGGCUCAGCUCCCUGAUGGGGCGGCCCUUCUCUGGGCUGCUGGCCAGGGAGACUGAGCAAGGGGCUUCCGCCCACCGUCUGGGAUUCCCAGUGUAGCCCUUUCUCAUCAGGCCUCCCCUCUCACAUCCUCUCCAGGACUCAAAAAUUGGGCUGGCUUCAGGGAUAGCCCAGAUCCAAGAGGGUCGGGCUCAGCUGUGUGCAGCUUCUUCGCUAAAGGGCUCUGCCACAAAGGUCCCCUGUAUAAAUACCGCCACGUCCACGGGAUAAUGUGUAUUAACUACUUGGCAGGCUUCUGCCCCGAGGGACCCCAGAGCCACUUUGCACACUUGUCAAGAGCCACCCAGUUCCCCACCUCCUGCUUCUGCCUGGGAAGCUGGCAAGCCCUCUUCCCCAACAGGCUUCGGGCUUCCUUCCCCAUCCUAAGAGGCCCUAGGGGCACCAGGUCACCUACUGCCUGGGGCUCAGGGUGCUGGAGAAGGGAGCCUGAUGUGGGUGAGUGAGAAGGGGGCCGGGCUCCUGCUCUGCUGAGGCUGAGGGGAGAGGUGAUCAGCUGGAGAAAGUGAAGCUCCUUUUCUGAAGCAGUGUUGAAAAGAGCUGCUAUGCCAGUCAGACUCGACUGGUAGGAGUUAUCAAAAACUGACCUGGUCUGUCUUGGGAAGUCGAGGACCGACCUUCUUUCUGGUGAAGAUGCCCAAGGCCAUCCUGGGGGAUUCUCUGUCCCCAGCGCCCGGGCAAGUCCACUGCCAGCCUCGGCAGGAAAGGAGGUGCGCAGCGGCCUGCACGUCUGGGUGCAUUUCCUCUUCUCCUGAUGUUUGGGAAGGUGGAUGCUGCCUGCGGGUUUGGGUUCUCUGGUGGAGUUUCUAUGUAUGCUGCCCAGAAGCCUUGUUUGGGAAAUCAUGCCGCUGUCCUGCAAGCAGAAUCUAAGCGCUGCUGCUCAUCCAGGAAGCUCCCACCAAAACCAGGAAGAUGCGGCACGUGAUUUUGAGAGAGGACUUAGAACACCCUGUUGAAAGGUGCGUGUGGACAGCUGUCUCCUGGCUUUGUGAAGGGAUGAGCGCCUGCCUCCUGUGUGAAGCAGACCAGCCUCAGGGGGAUGGAGCAGAGCAUCACCUGUCAGCAACUUUGGUUUUGAAAAGAACCUCACGUCUUUGUGGAUGAAGCCUGUAAGCCGCCAGCUCGCACACACAGGACUGGCUGCGCACACGCACUCGCAGAAUGAACAAAAAUGCACCCACAUCAGUCUACCAGGCUGGAGACAAGAUGGUGGAGACCAGGGACCCUGGGCCUGCCUCCUCUCACGAGAACACCGAAAUCACAACUAACCGCUGAACAACCAACAAUAAAACAGACUGGAACCUACCGAAAAAGAUACUCUACGUCCAAAGACAAAGAAGAAACCACAACGAGAUGGUAGGAGGGGUGCAGUCACAAUAUAAUCAAAUCCCAUGCAGUCUGGGUGGGGGACCCACAAGCUGGAAAACAACUCUAUCAGAGGCCUUCUCCCAUCAGGCCUCCCAGCCUCGGGGUUUGGCAGCAGGAGGAGGAGCAUCCAGAGCCCCGGCUCUGAAGGCAGCUGGGCUUGAUCACAGGAGCUCCCUAAGACUUGGGGAAAAAGACUCCAUUCCUGGAGGACGCACACGCGAUCUCGUGUCCACUGGGACCCAGGGCAAGAGCACUGACUUGACAGGAGCCGGAGCCAGACCUACCUGCCAGUCUUGGGGGCUCUCCUGGGGAGGCGGGGUGGCUGCAGCUUUCUCUAGGUCAUAAGAGGUGAUGGCGGAAAUGUAGAGACACGUUCAUCUACUUGAAGUCCCCUGCCAGAGAGAGACUUCUUGCUUGGGUAAGUAGCACCAAGACCUGGUCCCAUCCAACAGCUUGCAGACUCCAGUCCUGGGACACCUCAGGCCAAACAACCAAGGGUACUGGGAACAUGGGCCCACCUAUCGGCAGACAGGCUGCCCCGUGACUUCAACCACAGCCACCCUUUCUUUCUUUUUAGGGCUGCAACCACAGCAUAUGAAGUUCCUGGGCUAGGGGUUGGAGCUGCAGGCUUAGGCCACAGCAACGGCAGAUCCAAGCCACAUCUGCAACCUACAGGGCAGCUUGUGACAAUGCUGAGGCCAGGGAUCAAACUCAUAUCGUCGUGGGUACCAGUCGGGUUAAUCCACGGAGCCACAACGAUAACUCCAACACAGCCACCUUCAUGACAAGAUCUUGCCAACCCAAAGAGCCAGGUCCACCCACCAGUGGGCAGACAUGGGCCCCUCCAACAGCAAAGCUUGCAAAAGCCUCUAGAUCAGCCUCACUGGGGCUCAGACACCAGAAGCAAGAAAACUACAAUCUCACAACCUGACUCCACAAAUACAGGUCAGAACCAGCUUUUACAUUCUUUUUUUUUUUUUUUGCCAUAUCCAGAGCAUAGGGACUGACUCUGAGUCAUGGCUGUGGCAACAAUAGAUCCUUUAACCCACUGGUGCCACAGCAGGGACUGAACCUGCACCUCCACUGCGAUCUGAGCUGCUACCAUUGGAUUCUUAACCCACUGUGCCACAGUGAGAACUCCUUCACUGAUCUUUUCUGUUUUCUUCAUUUCCAUUUCAUUUGUUUCUGCUCUGAUCUUUAUGAUUUCUUUCCUUCUGCUAACUCUGGGUUUUGAGAUUAGAAAAAACACAUCAUGUGGAGACUAAACACUAUGCCAAUAUGCCACUGAACAACCUAAUGGAUCACUGAAGGAAUCAAAACUACCUAUAGAGAAAUGACAAUGAAGACACAACAACCCAAAGCUUACGGGAUACAGCAAAAGCAGUUUUAAGAGGGAAACUUACAGCAAUAUAAGACUACCCCCAGAAACAAAAAUCUCAAACAACUUAACCUUAUAUCUAAAGCAACUAGAGAAAAAGAACAAAUGAAACAUGGGGGGCAGGUCUGGGACACAGGCCACCAGGUGGGGCAUGGGUGCAGAUCACAUGGGUGCAGACACUGCCGCACCCAGCAUCCUAGCCCUUCUCAAAGCAGAAGCCUCCAUGGGAAAAGACAGAAGGAUGCUCAUCGAAGAAGAUAAAGGGUCGGAGCAAGAAGUCAGCUCUGCUGGGGACAUCCUCAGCAUGGAGGAUGUGCAGGAAGCUAGGAUGAGGUACCCCCUUAAACCAGCUAGAAUGGCCAUCAUCAAAUAGUCUACAAACACUAAAUGCUGGAGAAGGUGCAGAGAAAAGGGAACUCUUACUCUGUUGAUAGGAAGGUAAACUGGUGCCACCACAAGGGAAAACAGUAUGGAGAUUCCUCAAAAAAA